GCUCUCGUCUCGUCGGUCGCGGCGCCUGCAGUCUGGAGGCGCACCGGAGCGGCCGGGGCGUCCCCCGCGGGAGCCCGCAGCCACCCGGGACGCGCAUCCAGACGUGGCGCUUCGGACCGGGCACGCUGCGCCCGGGGGCUCGGCGGACCCCGCGUAGCCGCCGCUUCGGAGCUUGUGCGGCGCGGGCUGGCCAGCGGGGCGGCCAGGGCCCGGCCCGCCUCCCCAGCGCCCGCCCGGCUUCUCCCCCUGGCGGUGGGAGCCUCGGCGGCCGCUGGCGACACUAGGCGCACUGAAGCCCGAGCCGAGCCGAGCCCGAGCCGCCGCCGCCGCCGCCGCUGCUGCGCACCGCUCCCGGGCUCCCUCCCAGCGCGCCGGCCGGGGUGUGGGGGGCGGCGGGCCGGAGGGGCGAGGGCGGGCCAGGGGGCGCACACGGGGGUUGGCGCGGAAGACAGGACCCUCAGCCUCGAGGGAGCCCCUAGGUGACCAGGCAAAAUGGCAGUUCCUUCCAGCUGGUCCUCAGAUGGGCACAUCUAUUAGCCUCUGCUCUUGUAAGAAGUUAGCUGCAGAACCCACAUGUGAAUCCUUGUAGGACUCUGGAGAAGAUCAAAUGGGAGCUUAGAUGUGGAAGCUCUUUGGAAACCAAGAAACACUCUGAAAAUGAAAAGGGAACAGUUUGUGGACUUGCGCUGGCCCUUGGACCACACUUCGAGUGACAUUGUUAUAGAUGACACGGUCUCUUAUAGGAAAAUGCACAGUCUUUCUUAGAUUCUCUACCUCCCUCUUCCAUCUCAUUCCCAACAUAGAUCUGGGUACAUGAGUGGGGUCUUAUUAUAAUCUUGUGACACCCUUGGAUCAUGCACUACCCUCUAAAUAAUCAAUAGUUUCUACUAUAGAGAGGCUCAAUUUAUCUUCUCCCUGGAAUUGGGACCACUGAAAUAUAACUAGAACCCAACUGAUCUUUUGAGAUGUUGUGUGCUUGCCCUUACUGCUACUGCCGUAGUUCUGAACAUUUCCCCAAGCAUCAAAAAGGCCCCAUGGCCUCUUUUCCCCUAGACCUCUGCCAGUCCACCAACACUCUCAGUGGGGAAGUAAGAAGCCUGGUGGAUCCUGCUUCCCACACAAAGGCCAUGAUGAGACAGAUGCUUUCUAAGUCCGAUAUAUCUACCCACUUUCUGCUGUCACCUCUGUACCUCCUGAGUCACAUGGAAUGUGGUGCUGAGCCAAAUGGUCAGUCUUCUAGAAGCAGUGGAAUGUUGGAGGCAGCUUAUACCUUAGCUGAUUCUUAAAUUUUCAGGAAUUUUGUGAGCCAGUUUUUAAACACAGCCAUUGUUGAAAAUUAAACAAUAUAAACUUAUAAUCAAAUAUAUUAAAAAUAAAGAUAAUGCCCUCAACUCAUCACUUCCUAUUUAUUGUUUUACACUUUAGUACUAUCUAUGCUUAUUGUAUGUGUAUGGUGGAAAUACUACAUAAUGAUAUUUAAUGGUGUACUGCCACACAGCUCUUCACAACUCUGCAUUCAGUGACAUCACUUUGGUAGCUUGAAAUCAGCCAUGAUAGGAGUAUUUAUAUCUUGGAAAUUGGCAAAUAUUACAAAUCAGCAUUCCACCCUCCCUUACCUCCCCACCCCCCAGCCAGUUGUUAAACAUUUACCAGCAUGCAACCACCCAGAGCCUGCAUCUGGGAAAGUGAGCCACUAACCCAAUGACCUGUGAUAACCCUAUACAUAUCUAGCUGUUACUAAGCUGCCCUUCCCAUAACGGUCUGCCCCAAAAAGGUGUGUGUGCAGAGGAGAAUAAAAACUAAAACCCUAAGAUCAUCUUAUUUACUUGCCCUAUUUCUGCCUCUUUUCUCUCCCUGCCAUCUCUGGGGUCCAGAAGUAGAAGCUUUUUAUUGCCUCCGGAGUUUAUUCUUAUACAUCAAGGAUAAACAUUCAUGACCUAACAUCAUCUCUCUUGUUUUCUCCCGCCAAAGCUAUAAGGAUAGUCUAAUCAUGAAAAAACAUUAAACAAACUCAAAAUGGGGACAGUCUAUAAAAUACCUAACCAGUUCUCUUCAGAACAGUUAAGGUCCUGAAAGGCGAGGAGAGAAGAAGAAACAAUCACAACUUGGAGGACAUUAAUGCACUAAAUUUAAUAUGGUUUCAUAAGUUGGGCUGAAAAGAAAAGGACAGUAGAAAAGCUGGGAUAUGAGAAUACAGUCUAAGUGUAGUACUAAUGUUAAGUUUUUAAUCUCUAACUUGAUGGCAUGGUUAUAGAAAAUAGAAACAUUAGGCAAAGCUGGGUGAAAGGUAUACAGGAACUCUACUAUCUAUACAACUUUUCUGUAAACAUAAAAUUAUUUCAAAAUAAAACUAAUAUAAGAAAAAAACAUGGCCGACAUAACAGAUAGAAUGGAUAUCUUCUCUAGUCUAUGAAAAACCCUGUGUCCUACAUUCACUUGCUUUGUGAUAUAAUAAAAGGGGGAAAGGAAGGGAUGAUAGAAACAUUAUUCCUCUUAAUAAACUUGGAUUUUAAAAUCUUUUAUCUUUUCACAGCAUAAAACAUUCCACUUAGGAUGCUAUAUGUUGAGCAUUAACUUUCUCUUUUUCUUUAUAGUCUUUCUGUAAUAGUUCAAAUCCUGCCCACCCUGAGGGUGGAUGUUUCUAGAUGAUGAAGGAGGUCAUAAACAGAGAGUAGAUUAAUAUAAUUAUCUUUAUUUCAUGUCUAUUUGCAAAUGGGCCAUUGUUCACAUAGUUGUCUCUCUUUCUAAAUGGAAGAAUAGUUGGAGUUGGGGGUGGGGAAAUACCAGAACUGAGAGGAGUAAAGGUGCUUCAAGACAAUGCUUCUUAAACUUUGGUUUUGUGUUUGCAUCUCUUGGGGAUCUUGUUUAAAGUAGGUUGAGAUUCAGUAUGUUUGGGGAGGGGCCCGUUAAUCUGAUUUUAUAAAAAGUUCCUAGAUGAUGCCAUGCUGCUGGUCUCUGAGAAGCAAGAGUCUGGGGUCCUUUCUAAAGUGUUUCCUCUCUCCUCUAUACAGUCAGAAAAGGAAAGUGCUUACUGGUCAGAGAUUUAAAAGACAUAGGAGAUAUACCACACUUCUAUAAGACCAGAAACAAAAACAAAGAAAGAAGAAACAUAAUAACCAAAAUAUGACAUUAUUGCACACAAUGAGAUGCAGUAAAAGAUGGACUACUUAGGCAUUCACUGGACAUAAGUGAAGCUGCCUUUGGAGUUUAAUUUUAAGUUCUCAGUAACUCACUGUAUUUAGUCAUAUCGUUUCACAUACAGACAAAAUUCCUUCUCUACUAAGAAGGAACUAAAGCUCUCAGAAUUACUGAGUUGCACAGUACCAAUUUACAUGAAUAUUUUUCUUCCUCUAAAAGUUUGUAAUGACUAUGGUUCCUGGAAAAUAAUAUUUCAUUUUUUCAAUUCAUACUCUUAAUCUACCAAAAAAACACUCUUCCAAAAAUAUAAGCUAGAAAAACAGGUAAUUUGCUCAUAUCAUAGAGACAACUCAUACCAAUAAAAAAAUACAUUUUAAAAUUUGGAAAAUUACAAUGAGAGAAUAAAGCAUUUUGCAUGCAGAUGUGUUAUGUUUUUACUCCACAAUAUUGGGAGCUUCCAAAGUGUAACAUGCAUUUACAGAGCCACUCUCUUAGCAUUUAAACUGGGAGGCAUUUUUCGAGAAGCAUGAGUCUUGCUCAGCGGUCCUGUAGCCACUCUAGCAAUCUCACACAGUACAUGACUUAUAAAUAUUGUAUGUGCUUGAUGGAAGUAGACCUGGCUUUGCUAAUCACUUACCAGUUCUUUUGCCCAGUAUUUCUUUGUUUUAGAAGUAACUUUGUUUAGCUUACCAAAUGUAUAUUGUCCAAUUUGUAGGAAAUAUAAGUAAUAUUGCAAACAGCAAAAUGGGAUUGUAUGUGCAGAUCUCUGCAUCCUGGUGGGCCCUGUCAUGUUAGUAAUAGCUUUUCCUUGUGCUGUUGCCACUGCCAAACAGACUGCUUAUGCGAUCUUUGGCUUUCUUAACUCCUCUUUGGGGAUCAAUAAAGUGUUUCUUUUUUUUCUUAGAUACCAACUUCAUCUCUCUUUAAGAAUACAAUAUUAGUUUAAAAGAUUGUUCAACUUAAAGCAAUCUUGUAGAGAUUGUCACCCAUGAUUGAUGCUGGGUGAGUAGAAAGGAAAAUGUUGAUUUUAUCCUCUGCCUUUCAGAUCUUUGAAGGGGAAAGUGGGCUAGUUUUUUAAACUGCAGCCUGAUCAAAUGUUUCAAAAGUUGUUCAAAAGUAAUCUUAGUCCAACACUGCUCCUCUGACUUUUAUCUAGAGAAAUAGAAAAGUUUAUAUAUUAACGAUUUGUUUCUUUUAAGUACUUGUGUACAUUUUUCUCUUGCAAUAAGUAUUAAUAAUUGAAAAUUAUUAAAUUGUCAUUUUAAUGUUUUUUAUUAAGUAAGUUUGAUAUGUUUCUUAGCAACGAAGACCUGUGGCUCAAAUAGGAGCAGACAAUUCAUGGAAUC
rnacentral:lncRNA from 10 species